CACUUAAAUAUAAAAAAUGUAAAGAUCCACCGCGAAGCAGUUGCAAUGUUGAUUUGUGCAGGUUGACCGCACAGCAGCAGUAGACAUUUCGUGUGAGCCCCUAAAGACUGAGGUGUGGCUUGCAACACUUCUUCAGUCUGGAGAUCUUUUCUGGCUGGUAAAUGGUUGUUUUAGGGAUUGUACAACCAUUUGUGCAACUAUAUUGCCGUAACGCAGUUCCGGGACAGUAAUUCUGCUUCCCCUUUUUUCAGAUUGUUUGUGCAGGUUAUAAUUUACAGUAAUGGU